CUUUCAGAAGUAACUCGCAAUACAAAGCAGGAAGGCAGCAGCAGAGUGCACUAGGCAGCGUCCCGUGGGAGCCACCGUUUGUGCAGCAGGAACCAGGGACACCCCUUAUUUUGUAGGGCUGCCCAGGCACCAGAGACAUCCUUUAUUUUGUAGGGCUGCCCUCUUUUUCCAAAGACUGUCUCAGGUCUCCUCCGGCAGGCAGCUGCAUCUUUAGCCCGCAUUCUCUUCCCUGAGGGCCAGCAGCUGCCUCUGGGAUUCAUUCCUAACGCAGGCCACAAUCCCCCUCCGCGCAUGGGGGCCGAGCCAGGAGCCCCAGGUGGCCACGGGGCCCAGAGGGCUGUGGGAAGGGCCCUGGGAACCACCACCACGACGCCCGGCAGCCGGCAGAGCCGAAGGCAAAGAGGGCCACAGUCAUACUGGUGACGGAGCGGGAGCCACAGGAGGGGCUCGAGUCUGCACCCAGUCACUGGGCAAGGCCCUGACUCGCACCAGGAGGGGGGAGCUGGUUCCUGGAGGUGAGGUUUCUCUGUAGGACACAGAGGAACACAGGCACCUGCAGCGAUGAACCGCCCCAUCCUCCAGAAGGCGAGGAGAGGCACGCACCUCCUUCCUGAGGUGCCUCAUAUUCCUUCACCAACUGCGUAAGGAGCUCAGAUAACACGGCCAAGGAGUUCUGCUCCUAAAUGAGGUGAGCAGACUCUAACCCCAGAUCAGUGACUCCUUUGAGACCUCAGGUGGGUUUUAAGGCUUAUUUCAUUCCAACAGCUAAAAAGCCAUGCAAAGUAACCAUGCAAAGCCUGGCAGGCGCAAGGAAAAUCCUUCUGGAAAACAGAUGUUGAAGCCUGAGACCUCCAACCACAUGUCAAGACCAGUAUUGAUCAGUGGUAGCAGAGGAAACAGGAUGUAUUUGGAAUUUUUUCAAGAUUUUUUUCACGCAACCAAAAUGACAGAAACAUCCUUACUUGAAGGAAAAAGAGAAUACAAACUGAACUUUCACAACAUUAUUCACUACCAGCAUGCCUGGAGCUAGGGAUUUAGGGAAAAGCAUUAAUUAUUACAUGGCUCAUGAGAAAUUUGACAGUCCUGCUGCAUCUUAGGUCACUGCCAUCCCCAUGCAACGCAUUACCAUGAUGGAACGCAUUGAUUAGAUAGCAGCUCUCCACAACCCGUGUGCUCAGCAGUGUCCUCCUCUUCUCCAGCCCCCAUCCCGACGGCUCACUUCAAUGCCACAGCAGCCUCGCUGACGCCACAGGACUAAAAUCAAGGCUGCAAGUGAUUGCUUGCAAGGUCAAGGUCUUGCUGUCCCAGGAAGCCACUUUAAUGACAUGUAAUUACUGUUAGCAACAUACAACCACUCUAAUCCAUUAGCUACAGGUCAGUUGUCCACUGGGGCGUGACCUGACUCCCAGAGGCACAGCAAACUGCAAACAAGCUUUUUGUAGAGAUGCAAAGACAGUGAUCAUUAUGGGUGCUAAGGAAACACUCCCUGCUGGAUAUAGGGCAUUAACCUGCAUUUCAAGGCACAACGAAGAGCUAAUGCUCCUUCAAUGCUAGUCACAUCAGUGGUGCAGAGGAUAUAAGUCCAUGAACCAGAUUUUAAGCCAUUAUUUCUUUCUGCGAGCUGUCUGCUUAGCGAAUUGGAAGCUUUUCAGCAUUUCAUACAGGCUCCAAGAACAUUUCACUUUACUCACCAAACAUUACAGAAAAGGCCACCCAAUAGGAGUUUUACAUCAUCCUUGGCACAGAAGCAAUAUUCAGUGGUUGGGGCGGAAAAGAGCAAAAAGAGUCCCACUGCACUUCUGAUCAACCUGAAAAGCAAUGUGAUUCUUUGGGGAGGCUGGUGCAAACCUGAGGCUUUUGGAUUUUGCCUUGUGAGAGCCGGGGAACGACGGGGCAGCUUACAAAUGGAGGCUGGGAAGUUGCAGGGCACAGAGGCUGCCCAUGGGGCUGGUGCCCGUCAGCUCAGAGGAAGGCAGCUGCCACACGGGAGCCGGGAGACAGCACGGGGUGCAGCCGUAGGGGUUGGACCACGAAGCCAGCGGUGGUGCACAGCGUGCCCCAGCUACAGGCCAAGGGUCGGUGCUUUCUCCACCAGCAGCACAUUUGCCUGGCUGCAGGAUCCUGCUGCCGCGAGGGAAGGCGGGAUGGGCGUGGAAGCGUGCCAGGCCAGGCUGCCCCGCUGCUUUUAUUAGUUCAUCCCAAUCACAUCGCUGUGUGCCACUGGACAAAACAGUUGUUACCGAAAGGUUACACCCUGCAGCUUUCCCAGCUGCUCCCAUAGCACACAGGCUGCUGGCAGUUUCAUUUUCCAUCACUUCCCUCCAGUUUGCAAACUCACUGCCCACCUGACCACCUCAGGAUAACAAGUGCUCCCGAAGAAUUCAAACUGCUAGUGUGUGGUGUGCAAUAAAGCUGCUGGGCUGCAGGAUCUGAGUCCCGAUCAGCUGAUGAAUAACUUUGGUCGUCUGCCCCAGGCAAAUCAAAAACAUGACAAAAAUGUGCUUAGGUUUCUCUCCACCGGUCUUCUGCACUGUCUUUUUAUUCAGGAUGGCUGAUCCUCUGCUAGACAACUUUGUCACAUAACACCGUUAGACUCUGCCAUACUCAGUGUAACUCAAAUAAUUAAGGCAGCUAUAAUGGGAUUACUACCAAAGCAGGGUAGGAAGCAUCAUAUCAUUCUCAGCCAGAAUUAAAGCUAAUUAAACCAGCAACCUUCUCCCAGUACUGUGCUCCUAUGCUAGGUUUUCGGGGAACGCACAGAUACACAUUAAACAUGCUGCAGAGUGAUGCAGCCAUGUAAAGAAGUGCACCGACAUAUCUGUGUCCAAGUAUUUUCUUGAAACAGUGAGAAUUAAAAACUAUUUUUUAAAUAACAAGUGAGAUUGCCUUCUAUUUGACAACAUGAACUGGUCUGUUUAAAAAGCACCAAACUCUAACAUCAUUUUAACAUAUAUCUACCCAAAACCUCCAUUUCAGAGAUGACAGAAGCAGGUGGAAAUCAUCAAGUUCAAGACAACUGCAUGAAUUUUAUCUCAGGUUUUAGCUUGGCCUUAAAAUUACAUUACCAUACCUGUUAAGACAUGCAGGCACCAUACAAAUUGCACAGUUAUUCACACAGUUGAUCUGAAAGCACUGUUCACUUCAGACAGGUAUACGACAAAUACUGCCACUCAAGGAACGAUCCCACUUAACAGUUUCAAAAAUUGUUCGCUUAUGAAAAUGCAAGUGAUGAUUAGAAAAAAGACCUUUCCCUCUGAUAAGGGAGACAGUUUAAGCCCCAGAUCCUCACUGUGAAUCUUCCGUUUUGUUCUGCUUUAUUAGCUUCAGUUUCAAAACAACAUGAAAAAGAAGAGGAGGAAAAAAAAAAAGGCAUACAACCAAAGUUAAUCAUAGGCAUUGAAACGGUUAUGCAGCCAAUGCAAAUUCAAGGGAACAGCAAUUCCACAGAGACAGAACCACUGUAGUGUGAUUCACCAAGC